rnacentral:rRNA from 1 species
AUGAACGCUGGCGGCGUGCCUAAUACAUGCAAGUCGCGCGAACAGACGAGGAGCUUGCUCCUCUGACGUUAGCGGCGGACGGGUGAGUAACACGUGGAUAACCUACCUAUAAGACUGGGAUAACUUCGGGAAACCGGAGCUAAUACCGGAUAAUAUAUUGAACCGCAUGGUUCAAUAGUGAAAGACGGUUUUGCUGUCACUUAUAGAUGGAUCCGCGCCGCAUUAGCUAGUUGGUAAGGUAACGGCUUACCAAGGCAACGAUGCGUAGCCGACCUGAGAGGGUGAUCGGCCACACUGGAACUGAGACACGGUCCAGACUCCUACGGGAGGCAGCAGUAGGGAAUCUUCCGCAAUGGGCGAAAGCCUGCCGGAGCAACGCCGCGUGAGUGAUGAAGGUCUUCGGAUCGUAAAACUCUGUUAUUAGGGAAGAACAAAUGUGUAAGUAACUAUGCACGUCUUGACGGUACCUAAUCAGAAAGCCACGGCUAACUACGU